AUUUAUCAUAUAAUCAUCUAUUUUAGGGAAUACAUGCAGCAUUAAGACGACAGCUGGAAAAUGCUGCCUUUUCCCCUUUACGUACAAGGGUAAAAAGUAUUUCAGUUGCACUAGCAUCGACCACAAUAGGAAAUGGUGUUAUACCACCGAUAAUUCGCCGAAAGACAAGAAAAGGAAAUGGGGAAACUGUCAAUAAAUCACAGGCACAAAGGCGCAGCAAGGACAACCAAAGAUAAAACAAGUUGCAUUAAACUAGUUAAGAAAUAUAGUAAACGUUGUAGCAAGUAACAAUACAGUAAUAAAGUAGAACAGUAAACUUA